GAUGAAUAACGUAGCGAAACGCGAUAUGUAAUGUGAAUUGCAGAAUUCAGUGAAUCAUCGAAUCUUUGAACGCACAUGGCGCCUUCCAGUAUCCUGGGAGGCAUGCCUGUCCGAGCGUCGUUUCAACCCUCGAGCCCCCGUGGCCCGGCGUUGGGGAUCUGCCCAGGCAGUCCCCGAAAACCAGUGGCGGACCCGUUACAGGCCCUUCCCUUGCGUAGUAGCAUUCGCCUCGCAUCGGGAGCCGGCGGGCUUCCAGCCUCUAAACCCCCAUCAAGUCCGCCCCGGCGGCACCAAGGUUGACCUCGGAUCAGGUAGGAAUACCCGCUGAACUUAAGCAUAUCAAUAAGCGGAGGA
rnacentral:misc_RNA from 1 species